AAAGAUAAAGCUUUUGUUGAAGCAAUUCAUUUACAUUGAAUAGAAACAUGUUAUUGUUAUCUUUA
rnacentral:tRNA from 1 species